AUGGGAGGACUACUGCAUUGCAGCUUUACGCCUUUCAAUCCACACCAUACCACCUGUGACCCAACCAACCAAACGUCCCCUGAGAGCAAGGGGGAGAGAUUAAUCAUGGCGAUGGUGCUGGACGCCUUCGCGGGCGACCUGCUCAAGCAGGCGGCGGAGGAGGAGCUGGGGAUGAUGCUCGGCGUCUCUGGCUACAUUGACAAGAUGGGCGUCAAGCUCGGGGACCUCAAGAACCUCCUUGCUGACGCCGAGAGGAGGCGCAUCACGGAUGAUAGUGUGCAGCAAUGGGUGACCGAGCUCAAGCGUGCCAUGUACGAGGCCACCGACAUCCUCGACCUCUGCCGGCUCAAGGCGAUGGAGAGGGGAUCAUCUCCGCCGGAUUCGGGGUGCUGCAACCCCUUGCUCUUCUGCCUGCGGAAUCCCCGCUUCUCCCAUGAAAUCGGUGGCCGCAUCAAGAAGCUGAACCAGACGCUCGACUCCAUCAAGGAGCGAAGCUCUGCCUUCAGCUUCCUCAAUCUCACUUCCUAUGAAGAGUGGACGAGAGUCCGACCCAGUGCUGCUCGCCGGAAGACAGAACCGGUGCUGGAGCGGUCUGGUGUGGUGGGAGAGAAGAUUGAAGAUGAUACAAGAACCCUGGUGGAAAAGCUCACUAACAAAAAUGAUAUUGAUGAUAUCAUGGUGGUCGCCGUUGUUGGUGUCGGUGGGAUCGGCAAGACCACCCUUGCAAAGAAGGUCUUCAAUGAUGAGGCUAUCCAACACGGGUUCAAUACGAAGAUAUGGUUGAGUGUCACAAAAGAAUUCAGCGAGGGUGAGCUGCUCAAGACUGCCAUCAUCACCGCCAAAGGAAAGCUCCCAGACGGCGGGGUUCAAGAUAAAUCUCUACUUGUGCCGGCUCUUGCCGUCGCCAUAAGAGACAAGAAGUUCUUUCUUGUCUUGGAUGACAUGUGGGGAGACAAUGAAUGGAACAACUUGCUCAAGGACCCGCUCAGCUAUGGCGCUCCUGGUAGCCGAGUCCUUGUCACCACAAGACAUGGGACUGUUGCCCGAGGCCUAAAAGCCGUGCACCCGUAUCACCAUGUUGACAAAUUGGGACCUGAAGAUGCAUGGUCAUUACUCACGAAGCAGAUACUGACAACGGAGAAAAGUGAACCAACAAUUGAUAUGCUAAAAGAUAUCGGAUUGCAAAUUAUAGAAAAAUGUGAUGGGUUACCUCUUGCCAUAAAAGUGAUGGGAGGACUCCCGUGCCAGAAGGAGGAAUCACACCAUGCUUGGGGAAAGCUCUUGAAUGAUGCUAUAUGGUCAGUAUCUCAAAUGCCAGAGGAGCUAAGUAAUGCAAUAUAUCUUAGCUAUGAGGACUUAUCCCCUUGUUUAAAACAAUGCUUCUUGCAUUUUUCACUUAAACCUAAAAAGGUACUGUUUGAAGAUAGCGAAUUUGUCGGUAUGUGGAUUCUGGAAGGAUUUGUUCAUGGGGACUCGGAUAGAUUGGAAGAACUUGGAAUUGAGUACCAUAAGGAGCUAGUACUAAGGAACCUUAUAGAGCCAGAUACAUCAUACCCUGGUCAAAAAUUUUGCAGCAUGCAUGAUGUUGUCCGUUCAUUUGCUCAAUAUGUCAGUAGAAAUGAAUCACUAGUACUGAACAAUGGAGAAUCUACUAGUCAUACAUUUAGUAUGCAAAGAUAUCUUAGGUUGUCUAUAGAAACAAAAGGAGUAGAAUCAGAUACAUUUGAGUUGAGAAGUCUACAAGAGCAAAAGUCACUAAGAUCCAUAAUAUUAAUUGGCAAUUUCAAGAUUCAGCCUGGUGAUUCCAUGAUUAUUUUUUCAAGUUUACGGACUCUACAUAUGGAGUCUAUAGACUGUGUUGCAUUGCUUGAAUCCCUGCAUCAAUUGAAGCACUUGAGGUACUUGGCAGUAAGAAUGUGCAAUGGUAUAAAUAGCUUGCCACAAGACAUCCACAAGAUGAAAUUGUUGCAACAUCUUAGUUUUGAUGGUUGCCGGAAUCUUGUGAGCCUUCCUAAUAGCAUUGUGAAGUUACAAGAACUGCGAUAUCUUGCCCUUGGUGGCACAUGUGUAAUUAGUAUGCCCAGGGGGUUCCAUGCUCUAAAAAAUUUGAGGACAAUAUAUGGGUUCCCAGCUCAAAUGGAUGGUGAUUGGUGCAGCUUGGAAGAGCUUGGUCCUCUUUCUCAUCUUAGGUGCAUUAGACUAGUGGGUCUGCAGAAUGUAUCUGCUAAUUCAUUCGCCAGGAAGGCUAGGCUUGGUGAAAAGGUGUAUCUUUCCUUCUUGGGUUUAGAAUGCAGCUAUAGAUUUGAUGAUGAUGUAUUGAAGAAAGAAAGUAUUUCCGAGAAAGAUCAAAGAGUAAUUAAGGAGGUAUUUGAUGGUCUAUGUCCUCCACCUUGCAUACAGGAUAUUACUAUCCAAGGAUAUUAUGGGUGCCAGCUCCCAAGAUGGAUGAGGGACACAUCAACGACACUCCUCGAGUCCUUGAAGAUUCUACAGCUGCGCGACCUGGCUUGCUGCACUCAACUCCCUCAUGGACUUUGCCAGCUCCCUUGUUUGUAG
rnacentral:rRNA from 1 species